AUUAAUCAAAACUAACAUAAGACUGUUCGAUUGCUGCAGAUGCCUGAAAAAAGAAAUAGGAAAGGAAGCAAUGAGGAUGUAUGGAAUGCACCUGUUGGUGCUAUCACACGCCUAUAGUAUAGGGUGGCUGAAACAGGCUGCGGAGUUAGCACUGGCUGAACAAUUGACAACAGAGGUGGUGGUGGAUGUACUUCAUCUUGCGAGACAGUGUGAUGCUUCACAACUGUACAUUCGUUGCAUGAAGUGGAUUGCCAAGAACUUUGCAGCUGUCGAGAAAACCGAGGGUUGGAGGUUUGUACACGCGCAUGAUCCCUGGCUCGAGAUCAACGUACUGCAGUUCCUCCAGGAUACAGAUCUAAGGAUAAAUCGCAGAAG
rnacentral:misc_RNA from 1 species